UUGAAAGGUAGCGGGGACAUUCGUGAAACCGAAGGGUAUUACCUGGAAUUCAUACAACCCAUUUGGUACUAUGAAUGCAGUUUUCUUUCUA
rnacentral:precursor_RNA from 1 species